rnacentral:tRNA from 1 species
GGGGCUGUGGCUCCGUGGCAGAGUAUCUGAUUGGCAUGCAGAAGGUCCCAGGUUCGAUCCCGGCCAUCUCCC